UUGAAUUUUUUUAUUGUGAUUAAAAAAGUUUUUGGCUAA
rnacentral:tRNA from 1 species